rnacentral:rRNA from 1 species
ACGGAGGAUGCAAGCGUUAUCCGGAUUCAUUGGGUUUAAAGGGUGCGUAGGCGGUCUAUUAAGUCAGUGGUGAAAGCCCGUCGCUUAACGAUAGGACUGCCAUUGAUACUGUGGGACUUGAGUAUGGAUAAGGUAGGCGGAAUGUGUAGUGGAGCGGUGAAAUGCAUAGAUAUUACACAGAACGCCAAUUGCGAAGGCAGCUUACUAGUCCAUGACUGACGCUGAGGCACGUAAGCGUGGGGAUCGAACAG